GUCUAUGUGAAGAUCUACAUAGUCCGGCCUGCUCACUGACAAUUUCGUUAAAGAGCCGCGGUAUUCUAACCGUGCAAAGGUAGCAUAAUCAUUAGGAGCUUAAUUAGAACCUUGUAUGAAAGACUUAACAAAAAAAGAGCUGUCUCUAUUAUAAAAAUUGAACCUGACUUUUAAGUGAAAAGGCUUAAAUUCCUUAGAGGGACGAUAAGACCCUAUAAAACUUUAUAAAUAAUUAAGAUUUUAUUAAAGCUUAAAUAAAAAUUUUAUCUUUUUAUUUUAUUUUGUUGGGGCGACAAAGGUAUAAUUUAUUUAGCUACCUAACUUUUAUACAAAUUUUUCGAUUUUAUCUCUUUGAUCCUUUCUAAAGAUUAAAAGACUAAGUUACUUUAGGGAUAACAGCGUUAUUUCUUUCAAGAGUCCCUAUCGAAAAAGAAGAUUACGACCUCGAUGUUGAAUUAAACUAACUUCACAAUGCAACCGUUGUGCCAGAGGGUCUGUUCGACCUUUAAUUGUUUACAUGAUUUGAGUUCAGACCGGCGUGAGCCAGGUUGG
rnacentral:rRNA from 1 species